rnacentral:rRNA from 1 species
GACGAACGCUGGCGGCGUGCUUAACACAUGCAAGUCGAACGGAAAGGCCUGCUUUCCCUUGUGGAUUGCGGGUACUCGAGUGGCGAACGGGUGAGUAACACGUGAGUGAUCUGCCCCCAACUUGGGUAUAAGCCUGGGAAACUGGGUCUAAUUCCCGAUAGGACUGCAGGGUGGUGCCUGUGGUGGAAAACGAUUUUCUAGUGGUUGGGGAUGAGCUCGCGGCCCAUCAGCUUGUUGGUGGGGUAAUGGCCUACCAAGGCGGCGACGGGUAGCCGGCCUGAGGGGGUGGACGGCCACAUUGGGACUGAGAUACGGCCCAGACUCCUACGGGAGGCAGCAGUGGGGAAUAUUGCACAAUGGGCGGAAGCCUGAUGCAGCGACGCCGCGUGGGGGAUGACGGCCUUCGGGUUGUAAACUCCUUUCGACCGCGAGGAAGCCACCUGGUUGGAAGGGUGGUGACGGUAGUGGUAGAAGAAGCACCGGCUAACUACGUG